rnacentral:lncRNA from 1 species
UUAUCACAAAAAAUUAGAAGGAAAUGCAUUGCAUGAUAGAUAUAACUGAUUUAAGUUGAUUAUAUAGCGAGCUGGCAAACAUUGUAAGUGUAGAAAAUAUGUAGUAAUUAAUGAAAGAAGUUUAAAUACACCAUAAUCAUUUAUAUAUAAUGAAUUAGUACAAUAUUUUACACUUUAUACAUUGCAUGGUAAGAUACAUGAGUGACUUAGCAAGGUUUAAAAUAUCGAUGAUAUCGGAAAUAUCAGUAAUCGAAAAAAAUAUCGAUAGUCCAGAAACACGAAAAUUUCGAUGGAAAUAUCGGAAUAUUAUGAAUAUUUUAGACCAUGCUAAAUUUGAUGCGUAGUGACUUAUUUACUAAGUGUCAGUGUGUCACAUCAAUAUAUAUAUCUCAGAGUUGUAGAGGCCUGCAGCCAUUAUUUUAUUUAAUUAAAAUGUAAAGCUCCUGCAGCUACAGAGUUCUAUGUCAGUGUGUUGAUCAUUCUUCUCCCUCAAGUUUCCCCCGCUCCUCCUCGUCGAGUUUAGUUGCAAGUUAUGACCUAGACUUACGAUCAUUUUCCUUUCACGGGUUCGAUUUGGAUUAAUUACCUCAACUGAACCCAUCCGUCAUCUGAAAUCAAUUUUUUCUACAUGCAGCAAAUUUGAAUUGAACUGUGAACAAUGCUUGUCUCCUAAAAGAUAAAAAGGAAUAACUUCUCAAAUAUUUGAUUGUUUAUUUAUAGAAUUUUAUGUUUAUAAUUAAAAUUAUCCAUAGUAUAAAUCACUUAGUAAAAAUAAAUAAAAUCAAUGUCAUUUAAUCAACCUGUAGGUCAUAGAUUAAAAAUUUACAAUGCUUUUACCAAUUUUGAUCACCUGUUUGUACAUGAUUCGAUGACUAAACGAUCUUUAUUUUAUUGAUUUUUUGUAUAAAUGAUCUUUACAUAAUAUUGAUAAUAUGAAAUAUUUCAAUCAUAAUCAUAAAAUUCUGUGAGUCAACCAUAAAAAUGCUUUGAGUAAGAGUUAUGUCACAGCCCGUCCCGGAGAUGUACGUUAAUUAUUUAUCGGAAGUGUGAAAAGUCGGAAUUACCGUUGGACGUUAAGUU